rnacentral:rRNA from 1 species
AACGAACGCUGGCGGCAUGCCUAACACAUGCAAGUCGAACGGGCUGUAGCAAUACAGUCAGUGGCGAACGGGUGAAUAACGCGUGGGAACCUACCUCGGAGUUCGGAAUAACCGCGGGAAACUGCGGCUAAUACCGGAUACGGCCUGAGGGCGAAAGGAGCAAUCCGCUCCGGGAGGGGCCCGCGUCCGAUUAGCUAGUUGGUGGGGUAACGGCCUACCAAGGCGAUGAUCGGUAGCUGGUCUGAGAGGAUGAUCAGCCACACUGGAACUGCGACACGGUCCAGACUCCUACGGGAGGCAGCAGUGGGGAAUAUUGGACAAUGGGGGAAACCCUGAUCCAGCAAUGCCGCGU